rnacentral:rRNA from 1 species
AUUGAACGCUGGCGGAAUGCUUUACACAUGCAAGUCGAACGGCAGCACGGACUUCGGUCUGGUGGCGAGUGGCGAACGGGUGAGUAACAUAUCGGAACGUAUCCAAUAAUGGGGGAUAACGAGUCGAAAGAUUCGCUAAUACCGCAUGCGCCCUACGGGGGAAAGCUGGGGACCUUCGGGCCUGGCGUUAAUGGAGCGGCCGAUAUCUGAUUAGCUAGUUGGUGAGGUAAAGGCUCACCAAGGCGACGAUCAGUAGCUGGGCUGAGAGGACGACCAGCCACACUGGAAAUGAGACACGGUACAGACUCCUACGGGAGGCAGCAGCGGGGAAGUUUGGACAAUGGGCGCAAGCCUGAUCCAGCCAUUCCGCGUGAGUGAAGAAGGCCUUCGGGUUGUAAAGCUCUUUCGCAAGGGAAGAAAACUUAGCCACUAACAUUGGUUGAGGUUGACGGUACCUUGAUAAGAAGCACCGGCUAACUACGUGCCAGCAGCAGCCGCAG